rnacentral:rRNA from 2 species
CGCUGGCGGCGUGCCUAAUACAUGCAAGUCGAACGAGUUCUCGUUGAUGAUCGGUGCUUGCACCGAGAUUCAACAUGGAACGAGUGGCGGACGGGUGAGUAACACGUGGGUAACCUGCCCUUAAGUGGGGGAUAACAUUUGGAAACAGAUGCUAAUACCGCAUAGAUCCAAGAACCGCAUGGUUCUUGGCUGAAAGAUGGCGUAAGCUAUCGCUUUUGGAUGGACCCGCGGCGUAUUAGCUAGUUGGUGAGGUAAUGGCUCACCAAGGCGAUGAUACGUAGCCGAACUGAGAGGUUGAUCGGCCACAUUGGGACUGAGACACGGCCCAAACUCCUACGGGAGGCAGCAGUAGGGAAUCUUCCACAAUGGACGCAAGUCUGAUGGAGCAACGCCGCGUGAGUGAAGAAGGCUUUCGGGUCGUAAAACUCUGUUGUUGGAGAAGAAUGGUCGGCAGAGUAACUGUUGUCGGCGUGACGGUAUCCAACCAGAAAGCCACGGCUAACUACGUGCCAGCAGCCGCGGUAAUACGUAGGUGGCAAGCGUUAUCCGGAUUUAUUGGGCGUAAAGCGAGCGCAGGCGGUUUUUUAAGUCUGAUGUGAAAGCCCUCGGCUUAACCGAGGAAGCGCAUCGGAAACUGGGAAACUUGAGUGCAGAAGAGGACAGUGGAACUCCAUGUGUAGCGGUGAAAUGCGUAGAUAUAUGGAAGAACACCAGUGGCGAAGGCGGCUUUCUGGUCUGUAACUGACGCUGAGGCUCGAAAGCAUGGGUACCGAACAGGAUUAGAUACCCUGGUAGUCCAUGCCGUAAACGAUGAAUGCUAGGUGUUGGAGGGUUUCCGCCCUUCAGUGCCGCAGCUAACGCAUUAAGCAUUCCGCCUGGGGAGUACGACCGCAAGGUUGAAACUCAAAGGAAUUGACGGGGGCCCGCACAAGCGGUGGAGCAUGUGGUUUAAUUCGAAGCAACGCGAAGAACCUUACCAGGUCUUGACAUCUUUUGAUCACCUGAGAGAUCAGGUUUCCCCUUCGGGGGCAAAAUGACAGGUGGUGCAUGGUUGUCGUCAGCUCGUGUCGUGAGAUGUUGGGUUAAGUCCCGCAACGAGCGCAACCCUUAUGACUAGUUGCCAGCAUUUAGUUGGGCACUCUAGUAAGACUGCCGGUGACAAACCGGAGGAAGGUGGGGAUGACGUCAAAUCAUCAUGCCCCUUAUGACCUGGGCUACACACGUGCUACAAUGGAUGGUACAACGAGUUGCGAGACCGCGAGGUCAAGCUAAUCUCUUAAAGCCAUUCUCAGUUCGGACUGUAGGCUGCAACUCGCCUACACGAAGUCGGAAUCGCUAGUAAUCGCGGAUCAGCACGCCGCGGUGAAUACGUUCCCGGGCCUUGUACACACCGCCCGUCACACCAUGAGAGUUUGUAACACCCGAAGCCGGUGGCGUAACCCUUUUAGGGAGCGAGCCGUCUAAGGUGGGACAAAUGAUUAGGGUGAAGUCGUAACAAGGUAGCCGUAG